rnacentral:rRNA from 1 species
CGGCAUGAGCUCAAAUUUGAAAUCUGGCUUCUUUUGGAGUCUGAAUUGUAAUUUGCAGAGGAAACUUUGGUGCGGUCUUAGUCUAAGUUCCUUGGAACAGGACAUCACAGAGGGUGAGAAUCCCGUAUGUGGCUAAAGACUUUAACCAUGUAAAGUUCUUUCAAC